rnacentral:rRNA from 1 species
GACGAACGCUGGCGGCGUGCCUAAUACAUGCAAGUAGAACGCUGAAGGAGGAGCUUGCUUCUCUGGAUGAGUUGCGAACGGGUGAGUAACGCGUAGGUAACCUGCCUGGUAGCGGGGGAUAACUAUUGGAAACGAUAGCUAAUACCGCAUAAGAGUAGAUGUCGCAUGACAUUUGCUUAAAAGGUGCAAUUGCAUCACUACCAGAUGGACCUGCGUUGUAUUAGCUAGUUGGUGAGGUAACGGCUCACCAAGGCAACGAUACAUAGCCGACCGGAGAGGGGGGUCGGCCGCACUGGGACGGAGACAGGCCCCAGCUCCCUCGGGGAGGCAGCAGGAGGGAUUCUUGGGGAAGGGACGGAAGUCUGAGCGAGAAGCGCGGCGGGAGUAAGGAGGGUUUCCGGAUCGAAAAGCUCGGUUGUAGGAGAAGAACGAGGGUGACAGUGGAAAGUUCACACUGUGACGGUAUCUUACCAAAAAGGAACGGCUAACUACGUG